rnacentral:tRNA from 1 species
AAUUAUUAAGUGUUUAGCACAGAAAAUUUUGAUUUUUCAGAAAAUUAAUUU